rnacentral:rRNA from 1 species
CCUACGGGAGGCAGCAGUAGGGAAUCUUCCACAAUGGACGAAAGCCUGAUGGAGCAACGCCGCGUGGGUGAAGAAGGUCUUCGGAUCGUCAAACCCUGUUGUUAGAGAAGAAAGUGCGUGAGAGUAACUGUUCACGUUUCGACGGUAUCUAACCAGAACGCCACGGCUUACUACGUGCCAGCCGCCACGGUAAUACGUAGGUGCAAAGCGUUAUCCGGUUUUAUUGGGCUUAAGGGGAACGCAGGCGGUCUUUUAAGUCUGAUGUGAAAGCGUUCGGCUUAACCGGAGUAGUGCAUUGGAAACUGGGAGACUUGAGUGCAGAAGAGGAGAGUGGAACUCGAGGGGUAGCGGUGAAAUGCGUAGAUAUAUGGAAGAACACCAGUGGCGAAAGCGGCUCUCUGGUCUGUAACUGACGCUGAGGUUCGAAAGCGUGGGUAGCAAACAGGAUUAGAUACCCUUGUAGUC